GAUGAACGCUGGCGGCGUGCUUAACACAUGCAAGUCGAACGAAGCACUUAAGAAUGAUUCUUCGGAUGAAUUUUUUUGUGACUUAGUGGCGGACGGGUGAGUAACGCGUGGGUAACCUGCCUCACACAGGGGGAUAACAGUUGGAAACGACCGCUAAUACCGCAUAACCCGCUAGGGCCGCAUGGCCCGGACGGAAAAGAUUUAUCGGUGUGAGAUGGACCCGCGUUGGAUUAGCUAGUUGGCAGGGUAACGGCCUACCAAGGCGACGAUCCAUAGCCGGCCUGAGAGGGUGAACGGCCACAUUGGGACUGAGACACGGCCCAAACUCCUACGGGAGGCAGCAGUGGGGAAUAUUGCACAAUGGGGGAAACCCUGAUGCAGCGACGCCGCGUGAGUGAAGAAGUAUUUCGGUAUGUAAAGCUCUAUCAGCAGGGAAGAAA
rnacentral:rRNA from 1 species